AGAUUAGUCUUCAUUUUGUUCAAUGUUCUAUGGU
rnacentral:sRNA from 1 species